UCUGAAUCAGUUUCUUCACUAGUACUCUUUCAUAUUCACUCUUUUGCCAAAUUGUUGAACCAUGAAGCUUAUGUGGGUCACUCUUGGGGAUUAUUAUUUUCAUUAUCGCUUUGAUCCAAUGUCCCAAACUUCUGCUUGAAGGAGUCCUGCCUCUGCAGCCACAUCACCUGCAAAGCAGCAGCCCAGGCAAUGAGGAAAGAAGCGAACCAGAAUUUCUUGUCCUUGAGUAGUUGCUUUGCUUCCAUAAUUUAGAUACAAAACCAAAACCCUAACCCUAGAGAUUUCACACAGGGUUAGUGCUUGAUUAGGAGAUCAAAGAGUGUGCUUGAUGCAGCUGGG
rnacentral:misc_RNA from 1 species